rnacentral:rRNA from 1 species
ACCGGCGGCUCGAGUGGUGGCCACUAUUACUGGGCUUAAAGCGUUCGUAGCUGGCUUGUUAAGUCUCUGGGGAAAUCUUCCGGCUCAAACGGAAGGCGGCUUAGGGAUACUGGCAGGCUAGGGACCGGAAGAGGUGAGAGGUACUCCAGGGGUAGGAGUGCCCUCCUGUAAUCCUUGGGGGACCACCUGUGGCUAAGGCGUCUCACCAGGACGGCUCCGACAGUGAGGAACGAAAGCUGGUGGAGCAAACCG